rnacentral:rRNA from 1 species
AUUGAACGCUGGCGGCAUGCCUUACACAUGCAAGUCGAACGGUAACAGGUCUUCGGAUGCUGACGAGUGGCGAACGGGUGAGUAAUACAUCGGAACGUGCCCGAUCGUGGGGGAUAACGAAGCGAAAGCUUUGCUAAUACCGCAUAAGAUCUACGGAUGAAAGCAGGGGACCGCAAGGCCUUGCGCGAACGGAGCGGCCGAUGGCAGAUUAGGUAGUUGGUGGGAUAAAAGCUUACCAAGCCGAGGAUCUGUAGCUGGUCUGAGAGGACGACCAGCCACACUGGAACUGAGCCACGGCCCGGUCUCCUACGGGAGGCAGCAGUGGGGAAUUUUGGACAAUGUGCGAGAGCCUGAUCCAGCCAUGCCGCGUGCAGGAUGAAGGCCUUCGGGUUGUAAACUGCUUUUGUACGGAACGAAAAGACUCUUUCUAAUAAAGAGGGUCCAUGACGGUACCGUAAGAAUAAGCACCGGCUAACUACGUGCCAGCCGCCGUAACAC